GAUGAACGCUAGCUACAGGCUUAACACAUGCAAGUCGAGGGGUAACGAGAGGAAAGCUUGCUUUCCUUGUCGACGACCGGCGCACGGGUGAGUAACGCGUAUCCAACCUGCCCCCAACUAGGGAAUAACCUUGCGAAAGUAAGACUAAUACCCUAUAAUUUCCUCAGAUGUCAUCUGACGAGGAAUAAAGAUUUAUCGGUUGUGGAUGGGGAUGCGUCUGAUUAGCUUGUUGGCGGGGUAACGGCCCACCAAGGCAACGAUCAGUAGGGGUUCUGAGAGGAAGGUCCGCCACAUUGGAACUGAGACACGGUCCAAACUCCUACGGGAGGCAGCAGUGAGGAAGAUUGGUCAGUGGGCGGAAGCCUGAACCAGCCAAGUAGCGUGCAGGAUGACGGCCCUAUGGGUUGUAAACUGCUUUUAUACAGGAAUAAAGUUAGCCACGUGUGGUUAUUUGUAGGUACUGUAUGAAUAAGGACCGGCUAAUUCCGUGCCAGCAGCCGCCGUAA
rnacentral:rRNA from 1 species